rnacentral:rRNA from 1 species
AUGGCUCAGAUUGAACGCUGGCGGCAUGCCUUACACAUGCAAGUCGAACGGUAACAGGUUAAGCUGACGAGUGGCGAACGGGUGAGUAACACAUCGGAACGUGCCCAAUCGUGGGGGAUAACGUAGCGAAAGUUACGCUAAUACCGCAUACGAUCUGGAGGAGGAAAGCGGGGGACCGAAAGGCCUCGCGCUGCAGGAGCGGCCGAUGUCCGAUUAGCUAGUUGGUGAGGUAAAGGCUCACCAAGGCGACGAUCGGUAGCUGGUCUGAGAGGAUGAUCAGCCACACUGGGACUGAGACACGGCCCAGACUCCUACGGGAGGCAGCAGUGGGAAUUUGGACAAUGGGGGAAACCCUGAUCCAGCCAUGCCGCGUGAGUGAAGAAGGCCUUCGGGUUGUAAAGCUCUUUCGGACGGAACGAAAUUGCUUGGACUAAUACUCUGAGUAGAUGACGGUACCGUAAGAAGAAGCACCGGCUAACUACGUG